rnacentral:rRNA from 1 species
GAUGAACGCUGGCUACAGGCUUAACACAUGCAAGUCGAGGGGAAACGACGGGGAAGCUUGCUUCCCCGGGCGUCGACCGGCGCACGGGUGAGUAACGCGUAUCCAACCUGCUUCUGACUGAGGGAUAACCCGUCGAAAGUCGGCCUAAUACCUCAUGGCAUCGUCUGCGGGCAUCCAACGACGAUUAAAGAUUUCAUCGGUCAGGGAUGGGGAUGCGUCUGAUUAGCUUGUUGGCGGGGUAACGGCCCACCAAGGCUACGAUCAGUAGGGGUUCUGAGAGGAAGGUCCCCCACAUUGGAACUGAGACACGGUCCAAACUCCUACGGGAGGCAGCAGUGAGGAAUAUUGGUCAAUGGGCGGGAGCCUGAACCAGCCAAGUAGCGUGCAGGAUGACGGCCCUAUGGGUUGUAAACUGCUUUUAUGCGGGGAUAAAGUGAGGGACGUGUCCUUCAUUGCAGGUACCGCAUGAAUAAGGACCGGCUAAUUCCGUG